rnacentral:rRNA from 1 species
UACGUAGGGUGCGAGCGUUGUCCGGAAUUAUUGGGUACGGUAAGAGCUCGUAGGCGGUCUGUCGCGUCUGCGUGUCGAAAACCUAGGGACUUAACUCUGGGCGUGCAGUGGGUACGGGCAGGCUAGAGUGCGGUAGGGGAGACGUGGAAUUCCUGGGUGUAAGCGGUGAAAUGCGCAGAUAUCAGGAGGAACACCGGUGG